rnacentral:lncRNA from 1 species
AUUCUGGACUUGUCCAUAUAUAUCAAAAUUAUGGGAAGACCUUGACUCCUGGAUAUUUGAGAAGACAGAAAUAGAACUAACUUUAAAUAUUGAUUUGGUUUUAUUUGGUAUUUUAACAAAAACCGAUAAAAAUGAUAUAAGAAACAUAAUACUUCUGUUAACAAAAUUCUACAUUUAUAGAAGCAAAUUAGCUAUGGAACAAACCAAUAUAAUAGCACUUAAAAAUUAUUUAAAGGAAAACUUAUUAAUAGAAAAAAAUAUAUUCUAUAAAAAUAAAUUACUCAGUAGGGCAGAAAACUGCUGGAACCCCUGGACUCCUUUAUUAUCAUAAAAACAAAAAACAAAAACCAAAUAGACUCCACAUAUAAUGUAUAUAUUUCGUAUCCAAACAACCUCUGUCUUAAAAUCAUUAUCUGCAAUGUAUCAAACUAAAACUACUGUGUCUAUUAAAUAAUAUAUUAUAUAUCUUCUUUUUAGUGUAUAUAACUAUUAUGCAUACAAAAGUGUGUAACUUAUU